rnacentral:lncRNA from 1 species
ACACCCAUGCUAUUUAACAAACAUAAUAAAUUGCAUGAUUUAUCGAAUGCUCGGUGCUAAUUAAACCCAAGUAUAUUAGAUAUGUUAAUCAAAACCUAUGGGGAAUACUGGUUUGUACUUUUGACAACAAGCCAGUUGAAUUCAACCAGCAUGUAAUGCAAUAGUGUUUGUUUUUUUUAAUUAUUUUUUAUAAUUCAUUAAAGAUGAGGGGAGAA